UACGGGGGGAGCAAGCGUUGUUCGGAUUUACUGGGCGUAAAGGGCGCGUAGGCGGCCAGCACAAGUCAGUUGUGAAAUCUCCGGGCUUAACUCGGAAAGGUCAACUGAUACUGUGCGGCUAGAGUGCAGAAGGGGCAACUGGAAUUCUCGGUGUAGCGGUGAAAUGCGUAGAUAUCGAGAGGAACACCUGCGGCGAAGGCGGGUGGCUGGGCUGACACUGACGCUGAUGCGCGAAAGCCAGGGGAGCGAACGGG
rnacentral:rRNA from 1 species